rfam:Dipodomys ordii contig_20998, whole genome shotgun sequence.
UGGCUCAGUGGUAGAGCACAUGCCUUGCAUGCCUGAGGCCCUGGGUUCGAUUCCUCAG